UUUGUUCUUGCUCGAGACUGCUGCCCUCCCUUCUGGUCGCUGAUUGCCGUCAUUACUCCAGCCGCCGUUCGCCUCAUUCAUCAUGCGCUGCCUCCAUUGCUGUGCGCCCCCCAUUCUUCCUCUCUCUCUCUCUCUCUUCGCUCGAGACUAUUGCUCUCCCCUUUUGGUAGCCGAUUGCCGCCAUUGCUCCAACCGUUGUUCGCCUCCGACGCUGUCGCUGCCUCCAUUAUCGUGUGCCGCUGUGACCCGUUAGUUCGUUGCCGCCUCCACCUCCGGUCACCUGCUCAUUUGUCGUCGCCUCCCACUGCUUCGCUCACUGCUGUUCACCCGUCGGUCAUCGCUUCACUGUCGCCUCCGCCUCCAGUCACUCACUACUUCGCCUUCGGUCACCGCUGCUGUAAACACAGAGGUAAAAUGGCUCUGUUAAUUUGCUUAGACUCUACUAAUUUUUUGUUAUGUAAAAUAUUAUUGUUCGUAUCAUUUUUGGUUUCUGUUAAUUUUUUGCCGCCGUUGGAAUUCUCCUCCGAAUGCUUCGCCACCAGUUGCUUCGUCGUUGCCUUUGCCUACGGUCAUCGCUGCUACUAACAGUGAGCUAAUCAAACCCAAAAGUUAGGGUUCACCUUAAAACAAAUUGCAAGUCAAAAUAGCAUCUAGAAGAAAGUGACUACUACAACAUUAGGGAUGGAUUGGGUACGCGGAGAUUUAGGAGGAGUGGAACCAAAAUAUGGUGAAUUAUCUAGAAAAUGAAGUAUUUACCCACAUAUUGCCACCAUGGUUAGAGGUAUUUUUUAAUCGCUCAAAGACUGUUUUCUUUUUGACAUCCAAUGAGGAUGUUGAGAGUAGAUGAGGAUGAAGGUCCUAGUAGACAUGUGCAAAGUAAGAGAAGUUACCAACUUAUAAAAUUUGCAAAGCUAGAUGAAGUUACAAGAUCCAAACCAAUGUGAAAAUGCAGGGCAUUUUUUCCUUCAAACUUCAAUUUGAGUAUAUAUUUUUUGAGUGUUUAUGACAGGUAUGCACUUGCUGUUAUACUGUUAGUUGUAGUGCAAAUGCCAUUUACUUCGACGUAGGCACUAGCUAUAUAACAAUCUUGCCCUCAAGCUCAAGGAGAGAGUUGUGCCACAUCUUACAGACUUAUUUGUUGUAUUGGUCAUCCAAUAUGUUGUAGCAUAUAAUUAAGAUGGAGUGAAGAUUCAUUCACAUUUUAUAUGUCUAUGUUCAGACACUGAAAGACAAGCGUUGUUUGGUUAAAAAAUAAUUACUAUUAUUUCAAUCAAGCAAAAAAAUGGUACUGUUGCAAUCAUUUGUUAUAUUUGUAUUGAACUUAAUUUUUUUUUAUGAGUUUUAAGGUUCAUCCCCCAUAGUAAAGCAGUUUCCUAUUCAUAUAAUUGGGCAGUUGUAUCCUGACUGGAUGCUACUCCACUUUCUCUCGUUCAAGGUGAAAUAGCGGUAAUCGGAGGCGGAGGUGGCAACGAAGCAUAGGAUGACAGGCGGAUGAAGUAGCAUUGACUGAAGCAAUUGGAGGUGACGGCAAAGCAACAACUGACCAGAGAAGGCGGUAACGAAGCAACAAGUGGAGAAAUAGAAGUGUUAAUGGCGACGACAUCAACGGAGGAUGUGCACGAUGAUGGCUGCUAUGGCAACGUCGACGGUAGGAGUAAUCGCGACGAUUGGCAACCAGAAUGGGAGGGCAUCGUUCUCGGGCGAGGAGAGAAAGAGAGAGAGAGACGACACACGACGAUGGAGGCGGCGACAACGUCAGAGGCAAACGACAAUUGACGACUAGAAGAGAGGACAACAGUCUUGGGGUAAAAGAAAGAAAGACAUAGAGAGAGAGAG